rnacentral:rRNA from 1 species
GAUGAACGCUGGCGGCGUGCCUAAUACAUGCAAGUCGAACGCUGAAGGAAGGAGCUUGCUCUUUCCGGAUGAGUUGCGAACGGGUGAGUAACGCGUAGGUAACCUGCCUGGUAGCGGGGGAUAACUAUUGGAAACGAUAGCUAAUACCGCAUAACAGUAGAUGUUGCAUGAUAUCUACUUAAAAGGUGCAAUUGCACCACUACCAGAUGGACCUGCGUUGUAUUAGCUAGUUGGUGAGGUAACGGCUCACCAAGGCGACGAUACAUAGCCGACCUGAGAGGGUGAUCGGCCACACUGGGACUGAGACACGGCCCAGACUCCUACGGGAGGCAGCAGUAGGGAAUCUUCGGCAAUGGACGGAAGUCUGACCGAGCAACGCCGCGUGAGUGAAGAAGGUUUUCGGAUCGUAAAGCUCUGUUGUAAGAGAAGAACGAGUGUGAGAGUGGAAAGUUCACACUGUGACGGUAUCUUACUAGAAAGGGACGGCUAACUACGUG